rnacentral:rRNA from 1 species
UGAAUACGAGAUGCUACGGCGUCGAAGCAGUGUAUGUCAGACUUCCAAGAAAAGCUCGCAAUGUCAUAAAUAAAGAAUGCCUGUACCAUAACCGACACAGGUGGGUAGGUAGAGUAUACUAAGGGGCGCGAGAUAACUCUCUCUAAGGAACUCGGCAAAAUAACUCCGUAACUUCGGGAGAAGGAGUGCCUUCUUUAAGAAGGUUGCAAUAACAAGAUCCAAGCAACUGUUUAUCAAAAACACAGGUCUCCGCUAAGUCGUAAGACGAUGUAUGGGGGCUGACGCCUGCCCAGUGCCAGAAGGUUAAAGAAGUUGGUUAGCUUUUGCGAAGCUGAUGACUGAAGCCCUGGUGAACGGCGGCCGUAACUAUAACGGUCCUAAGGUAGCGAAAUUCCUUGUCGGGUAAGUUCCGACCCGCACGAAAGGCGUAAUGAUUUGGAUACUGUCUCGGAGAGGGACUCGGUGAAAUAGACUUGUCUGUGAAGAUGCGGACUACCUGCACCAGGACAGAAAGACCCUAUGAAGCUUUACUGUAACUUGAAAUUGAAAUUGGACUUUAUUUGCGCAGUAUAGGUGGAAGGCGUUGAAAGUGAUCUUGCGGGAUUAGUGGAGCCAUCAGUGAGAUACCACUCCUAUAAUGUUAGAUUUCUAACUUUGGAUCAUGAUCUGGUCAAAGAACAGUUUCAGGCGGGCAGUUUGACUGGGGCGGUCGCCUCCCAAAUGGUAACGGAGGCGUACAAAGGUUUCCUCUGAACGGGUAGAAAUCGUAUCUAGAGUGUAAAGGCAUAAGGAAGCUUGACUGUGAGACCUACAAGUCGAGCAGGGACGAAAGUCGGUCUUAGUGAUCUGACGGUGCUGAGUGGAAAGGCCGUCACUCAACGGAUAAAAGUUACUCUAGGAUAACAGGCUGAUCUCCCCCAAGAGUUCACAUCGACGGGGAGGUUUGGCACCUCGAUGUCGGCUCAUCGCAUCCUGGGGCGGUAGUACGUCCCAAGGGUUGGGCUGUUCGCCCAUGAAAGCGGUACGCGAGCUGGGUUCAGAACGUCGUGAGACAGUUCGGUCCAUAUCCGGUGUAGGCGUUAGAAUAUUGAGAGGAGCCUUCUUUAGUACGAGAGGACCGAGAGGGACAUACCUCUGGUGUACCAGUUAUCGUGCCAACGGUAAACGCUGGGUAGCUAUGUAUGGAGAGGAUAACCGCUGAAAGCAUCUAAGUGGGAAGCCCACCUCAAGAUGAGUAUUCUCAUCACGUAAGUGAGUAAGGUCACGGUAAGACUAACCGUUUGAUAGGCAUUAAGUAUAACUAUAGUAAUAUAUGAGCUGAGAUGUCCUAACAGACCGAGGACUUG